rnacentral:sRNA from 1 species
GUUGGUUAGUGUUUUA